GUAUGGCAAGCUGUUCCGCUUAUGUCAACUCAGCAUCCUACACCGUCUGCUCCGCUUCAGUUACCUGCACCACCUCACCAUAGUGUUGGGACCCCCUCUGCUCCGCCACAACCUGGGGUCUACGCCAUGCCGACUAGUGCUUCUUUCGGGCGUCCAGAUGUCAUGACAGGUAAUCCUUGAGGACGUCAUGCAUGGGGAGUUUUGGGAGUAGUACCUUCACCAACGUCACCUCACGUUUCACACUUGAUUCAUCUAUUUGUUGGAACCCAGAAUUGGAUAGCUUGAGUCUAUUAUGUCAUUUUUGGUCAUGAGUCUUGUGGAAGUUUGUCUCUUAAAUUGCUGUUGGUUUUACCCAUUGGUUAUGGCAACUGGUAUUCUGUGCGGAUGUUAGUUUCUUUACAUGUGUUCGCAGAUUUGUUUAUGGCCGAACGUGGUGCUAGUUUUGCUGGUGAUGUAACUUGCCUUUAUA